ensembl:lncRNA
GCUGAGUAUUGUGCUGCUUCAGCAAUUUGGUUUAAAAUUCUAAAGGAGAAUCUCUUCCAUAUUUCAGCAGCAUGGAGUUUGUCCAUUACCCUAGUUUUGGGCGGAAUUGAUAAGGCUUGUGAAGUGCUUUGGGUGAAGGCUCAAGCAACACAAACGUCUCCAAAACUCAGUUGUGCAUUGGCCUGGAAUCUAACCCGGACUUCACAGAGGACGCUUUCCAGAUGGUGGUUAGCAUUAAAACGAUGCGCGAGUGCACAGCUGCUGCACCUCCCUGUGAAGGAACAGGGCACUGUCACAAGGAGACUGUGUGGGACAAAGACAAAGCAUAGAGAAAAAGGAAAGCUGAACUGUGCUGGAAAAAGACCAUGGCUCAAACAUUAGAGAGCCAGAGUCAUUUUAUCAAUAAGUACAUAGAGCUGCUCACGCAGGAUUCAGAGGAUCUGGACGCCUCAGCCUCUACAUCAGCAGAGCAUGGGUACCUAAGCAUGCUCGUAGUGACGCAGUGUUCUUAAUAAGUCAACUUGUAUUGUAUUCUCAAUAUCCAG